rnacentral:lncRNA from 1 species
AGCUUUUUGACAGGUAUGCAGUACUCGGUGAUGAUGUACUCAUUACCGAUCAGGAAGUAGCCAGAGUGUAUGAGACAGCGCUUGGUCGAUUAGGGGUUUCGAACAAUUAUCAGAAAUCCUUGAUCUCCACCACUGGCUCAGCGGAGUUCGCUAAAAGGUUUAGAGUCCGGGGAUUGAGUAAGGACUUAAGUCCGAUAUCCAUCCUCCAUCUAACAAAUUCCUUCCGGACUGAUGAGUGUCCAAAUGACUUACCCUUGCAACAGGUUAACAACCUUAGCGCGGGUUGGUGGAGCCGGCUUUCGCCAAUUAGCGACUUUUGACCAUAAGCGGAACCGUCACUUCGAAAGGGUUCUGGCUAUGUACACUAAGCAAAGGCUCCCGUUUGAGCUAUGGCUUGGACGGGGGUCUCCUCUUAACCCAACUCUUAGAGGUGUCAUUAUUGACCUCUUGAGGCGAGAGAUGAAAGCCCGGGGGCUGACAUUGAUACCCGACGAUCUAUUUGAAGUCGAGUCAAUGAAGGAAUUCCUUGAGUGGACCACCCGGGUUCGGGACUUGUUACGGUACUGUCGUUGGUACUACUGUACCGCGAUUGACCCAAGGGUAACGAUUGAGGAGUUCUUUAAUGCUCCAGUCAACAAUCGGAAAUGGAAGGUUGAUCGGACCGAUUCUAUGUUGGUUCGAUUUGGCCUUUUAUGGAAGGUAUAUGACUUGGUUGCAUGUUGAGGGGUUUAUUUCAGGUUACCAAUACUGGAGUUACCUUCUCCUUCACCAUUAGGUGAAGUGUAUCUCCUCGGUGGUGCAUCUGGUACAGAAUACUUGGUAGCAGCUCGUGGUUUAGAACAACCUAGAGCUGGGAAAGGUGUCGUGCGUCCUGGAGUAUAAAGACUUUAUGGAACCGACACUUCUCAGACCAUCAGAUGGUUGACUUUAGGCGUCUCGGGAAGCCUUUUUCUUAAAAGACUUUCUGCGACCGGUGAGAAACCUAUCUACAGGACGACUUUCGGGGUUAAAGGAACACCUUUCUCUUUCAUAUUGAGUUCUCAGAGGUGCGGCCCACUUGGUGUCGGACCAGCUCGACGGGUCACUCAAUAGUCUUUCGCGGAGUACCCCUGUUUUAGUGAACCCUGGGAGUUGUCGGCGGCUCGACGAUCUGUAUUCCAAAGCUUCACCUUGUGCAAACAGAUGUUUUUUAAAGGGGCAUGCCUUGGCUCAGAAAGGCUUUCGAUGUUUUGAUCCUUCUUCUCGUUCUCGCCGGCCCGGCAUGUUACCUUCCAUGAGCACGAGUUCUUCUACUCCCCCUUAUUUUAGUAGGCGCGCCUAUUGGAUCAGCAUCUUCUGGAUCUUCUUCACCAGUGGUUUUUCCUGCGCCUUCCGUGCAUCAGGGGAGUCAGAAUCCCAAGGGAAUCAGGGUCGCAGCCCUCUAUUGAGCAGCUGGAAACCAGCCUCGCUCUUCUAAUAAUAAAGAGCAGCCUGCAUCUUUAUCAUCUUAUAGUAACGACCAGUUGCCUACGGAUUCUCCUUCAUCCUCUAUCGCAGCAGAGCCAUUUCCAUCUCUGCGCUUGAAUGGUUCUCCCCGGCCCUGCUCUAUCAGCAGGCCCUUCCUUUUGCAACCAGUGGCAUCGCAUCUCGCAUAUCAAGUUCCUCUAUCGAUAACGUCGUAAUAUAGCCCAAGACAGAGAACAUGGUCGGUAGGUAAUUCAUCUUCGUUUGGAUAGCAGUACGGUACACGCAUCAAGAUAUGAUCUUUGCUUUUCCAUCCCAGGCAUUCAAAAGAGGCAAAGGGAGAGUCCAAAGCACUCUGUAGAUAAAGAUCGAGAGCCUGUGGACCGGGGUUGAACCAUAUCCUUUUUCUUUUGAUCGAGAGUGCCUAGAAGUUAACCGAAAAUGUUGUGUGGAAAACUUCCCUGAUGCUGUGAGGCGGAGAUAGCUGCACUUCUUAGGAAAAAGCCUGAGAAGAUAUAGAGAAUUUACCGGGAGAAAAGAGUCAGCAACAACAAGAAAUUCUUCUUGCCCUCCUACUAGACCACUUUCCUAAUUGCCCAUUGAACUGGUGGAAUACAUCGCACCUUUGCUCACUCCAUGCUCGUAUUCGUUUCUUGCAACAGCCCCUUUCUUUCUAUUCCAUCUUACUGCAGGGAACUGGCCUCACAGAGCAUCAUAGUCAGCACGAUAGCCCCAAACAUAGUAGCCACGAUAGCUUUGGUUAUUACAUAUAAAAGGAGAACGUGCCCAUUCAUGCGGAGGAUCUACCGGGAGUUUCGACUCCCCUCCCUAAUGGAUUUAGAUUAUAGGGCAGGAGCCAGUGUUGGCUUGUGCGAAGUCGACAGGGGUGGUUGAUAAACACGUUUUAUUGGGAUGGGGCAGCAGGCCAUGUCUGAGGAAUUUCCAGUCUUGCAGAAGACGUCGUUCAUUACCUUAUCAGAUAGAGAGGGGUUCCAAACCUCUUCCUGACGGAAAGACCACUAUUGAGGGAAUUCAGAUUGGUAUCGAUUCUGAGAAG